CAACCCCAGAAAGCAAGCUUUCUGGGGUUGUAGGACACUCCACUCGGAGUUACCAAGGAAUUCUUUAAAUGAAUCGACCUGGAAAGGUCAGCCACAGAAGGUAACAGCCCUGUAGUUGAAAAAGAAUUCCCUCCGGAGUGUAUCCUGAGUACGGCGGAACACGUGGAAUUCCGUCGGAAUCCGGGAGGACCAUCUCCCAAGGCUAAAUACUCUCUAGUGACCGAUAGUGAACCAGUACCGUGAGGG
rnacentral:rRNA from 1 species